AACGAACGCUGGCGGCAUGCCUAACACAUGCAAGUCGAACGAGACCUUCGGGUCUAGUGGCGCACGGGUGCGUAACGCGUGGGAACCUGCCCUUAGGUUCGGAAUAACUCCCCGAAAGGGGUGCUAAUACCGGAUAAUGUCUUCGGACCAAAGAUUUAUCGCCUUUGGAUGGGCCCGCGUUGGAUUAGCUAGUUGGUAGGGUAAAAGCCUAUCAAGGCGACGAUCCAUAGCUGGUCUGAGAGGAUGAUCAGCCACACUGGGACUGAGACACGGCCCAGACUCCUACGGGAGGCAGCAGUGGGGAAUAUUGGACAAUGGGCGAAAGCCUGAUCCAGCAAUGCCGCGUGAGUGAUGAAGGCCUUAGGGUUGUAAAGCUCUUUUACCCGGGAUGAUAAUGACAGUACCGGGAGAAUAAGCCCCGGCUAACUCCGUG
rnacentral:rRNA from 1 species